rnacentral:lncRNA from 1 species
CACUCCCUCCCCCUAAUCCCCAGUCUCCAGAUGUAAGGAUGCUGCUGCUGCUUGAAAGGGGCUGCUGGAGCUUUAAGAGCCGCCUCCCCCCUCUCUUCCUCCUAACAAUGGUCUGAACCAAGCUCUGCUUCCCAAAGCAAAAUUUGUAAUAUGCCAUUUUUCCCAUGGACGCUUUUCCUUUUGGCUGCUGACGAAGUGGCUGAAGAAAAUGCCGAGGUGCCAUGCAGAUACUCCUGCCGGGAGAAGGGCGCUGGGGCUUCGGUUUUCUCUGAGCAACGCCUGUGUCAUCAUUGCUAGGAAGAUGCUCUAGGACUGCCCAGCUGUGUGAGCCCCCAUCAAAGCCGGGAGAGACUGCGGUUGUCAUUGAUCAACGGAAUAAGCAGAAGCCGAAGUAAAAGCCACUAGAAAUGAUGUGUGAAGUGAUGCCAACGAUAAAUGAGGACACCCCAAUGAGUCAACGGGGGUCCCAGAGUAGUGGGUCGGACUCGGAUUCUCACUUUGAACAACUGAUGGUGAACAUGCUAGAUGAAAGAGAUCGUCUCCUUGAUACCCUUCGGGAGACUCAGGAAAGCCUGUCGCUUGCACAGCAACGCCUUCAGGAUGUCAUCUACGACAGAGACUCCCUCCAGCGACAGCUCAAUUCAGCACUGCCACAGUUCAUUACCCUCAAAGUUUCCUGGAAUUUGUAGCAGAUCCAGAUACCACUCUAUAGAAUACAGGGUGAAAUGCAGCAGAUCCCAGAGCAUUCAGCAUAUGCCAUGCCAACAGAGAUACAUAUUCCUGGAUUGCACACCAGUCCUCCAUAGCAGUUACAUGCUUUUGUGGUCAGUGGAUGAUGCUUUUAUCUCAUCUCCAGCUCUCCCACCUCUCCCCUUUGGAGAACACUAAUCUGUAAUGAAAAGAGAAUAAAAUGAGGACAUAUGGAGAAGAAAAAAAGAAA